rnacentral:rRNA from 1 species
AUUGAACGCUGGCGGCAGGCCUAACACAUGCAAGUCGAACGAGUGGCGGACGGGUGAGUAAUGUCUGGGAAACUGCCAGAUGGAGGGGGAUAACUACUGGAAACGGUAGCUAAUACCGCAUACCAUCGGAUGAGACCAGAUGGGAUUAGCGAGUAGGUGGGUUAACGGCUCACCUAGGCGACGAUCCCUAGCUGGGCUGAGAGGAUGACCAGCCAAACUGGAACUGAGACACGGUCCAGACUCCUACGGUAGUCAGCAUGGGGGAAUAUUGCACAAUGGGCGCAAGCCUUAUGCAGCCAUGCCGCGUGUAUGAAGAAGGCCUUCGGGUUGUAAAGUACUUUCAGCGAUGAGGCGUUACUCGCAGAAGAAGCACCGGCUAACUCCGUGCCAGCCGCCGCGGUAAUUC